CGAUAUCCGGAAUUCGCCAGAGAUGGCUUAGUGCUCGAAAGAGAACCGUAACACAGGUGCUGCAUGGCUGUCGUCAGCUCGUGUCGUGAGAUGUUGGGUUAAGUCCCGCAACGAGCGCAACCCUUGUCAUUAGUUGCUACAUUUAGUUGGGCACUCUAAUGAGACUGCCGGUGACAAACCGGAGGAAGGUGGGGAUGACGUCAAGUCCUCAUGGCCCUUAUAGGUGGGGCUACACACGUCAUACAAUGGCUGGUACAAAGGGUUGCCAACCCGCGAGGGGGAGCUAAUCCCAUAAAACCAGUCGUAGUCCGGAUCGCAGUCUGCAACUCGACUGCGUGAAGUCGGAAUCGCUAGUAAUCGUGGAUCAGAAUGUCACGGUGAAUACGUUCUCCUGGCUUGUGCACACACCUUGACCGAUUAAUUUUUUUUAUUUUUGGUUUCUGGUG
rnacentral:rRNA from 1 species